rnacentral:lncRNA from 1 species
ACGCAGCUUCAUUUUCUGGGUUCCGUCUUCUGCUGGUUCUUUCCUUUUUAUUUUGUUUUUAUUUUCUUUUUUCUUUUCAUUUUACUUGGUAUUUUGGAGAACAAAUCAUAGAGCACAAGAAGGUACCAAAGGAUUUGGCAAGGAUUUUGGGAAAAUCAAGAUUAAGCUACAAAAAAGGGUUUUAUCUAUAUCUUUGUAUUUUCUCCAUUAUUUAGCCAUAUUUGUAAUACAUUGGAUGAAUAAUCUCCUUGAUUAUCAUUUAUUUAACAUGGGCUAAGUAUUGAGUUGGGA